CAACUUUCAACAACGGAUCUCUUGGCUCUCGCAUCGAUGAAGAACGCAGCGAGUUGCGAUAANGUAAUGUGAAUUGCAGNAAUUACGUGAAUCAUCGAAUCUUUGAACGCAUAUUGCACUCUCUGGUAAUCCGGGGAGUAUGCCUGUUUGAGGGUCA
rnacentral:rRNA from 1 species